rnacentral:rRNA from 1 species
CCUGAGAAACGGCUACCACAUCCAAGGAAGGCAGCAGGCGCGCAAAUUACCCACUCCCGGCACGGGGAGGUAGUGACGAAAAAUAACGAUACGGGACUCAUCCGAGGCCCCGUAAUCGGAAUGAGUACACUUUAAAUCCUUUAACGAGUAUCCAUUGGAGGGCAAGUCUGGUGCCAGCAGCCGCGGUAAUUCCAGCUCCAAUAGCGUAUAUUAAAGUUGUUGCGGUUAAAAAGCUCGUAGUCGGACUUGUGUCACACGCUGCCGGUUCACCGCCCGUCGGUGUUUAACUGGCAUGCACGUGCUGACGUCCUGCCGGUGGCCCAAGCCGGGAGCUCUUGGUGCGAGUCCCUCCAGGGUCUCCGCCUCGAACCCGGUCUCUGGGGAGGGSCUACUCAUACCCCUCGUGGUGCUCUUAACCGAGUGUCUCGAUGGGCCGGCACGUUUACUUUGAACAAAUUAGAGUGCUUAAAGCAGGCAGCAUCCGCCUGAAUACUGAGUGCAUGGAAUAAUGGAAUAGGACCUCGGUUCUAUUUUGUUGGUUUUCGGAAUCCCCGAGGUAAUGAUCAAUAGGGACAGACGGGGGCAUUCGUAUUGCGACGUUAGAGGUGAAAUUCUUGGACCGUCGCAAGACGGACCGAAGCGAAAGCAUUUGCCAAGAAUGUUUUCUCUGAUCAAGAACGAAAGUUAGAGGUUCGAAGGCGAUCAGAUACCGCCCUAGUUCUAACCAUAAACGAUGCCAGCCAGCAAUCCGCCGAAGUUCCUCCGAUGACUCGGCGGGCAGCUUCCGGGAAACCAAAGCUUUUGGGUUCCGGGGGAAGUAUGGUUGCAAAGCUGAAACUUAAAGGAAUUGACGGAAGGGCACCACCAGGAGUGGAGCCUGCGGCUUAAUUUGACUCAACACGGGAAACCUCACCAGGCCCAGACACCGGGAGGAUUGACAGAUUGAUAGCUCUUUCUUGAUUCGGUGGGUGGUGGUGCAUGGCCGUUCUUAGUUGGUGGAGCGAUUUGUCUGGUUAAUUCCGAUAACGAACGAGACUC